rnacentral:rRNA from 1 species
UACAGAGACUGCAAGCGUUAUUCGGAUUCAUUGGGCGUAAAGGGUGCGUAGGCGGUCGGGUAAGUCGGAUGUGAAAUCCCAGGGCUCAACCCUGGAACUGCAUUCGAUACUGCCUGGCUAGGGUACUGGAGAGGAGACUGGAAUUUACGGUGUAGCAGUGAAAUGCGUAGAUAUCGUAAGGAAGACCAGUGGCGAAGGCGAGUCUCUGGACAGUUACCGACGCUGAGGCACGAAGGUCAGGGGAGCAAACGGG